GAUAGAACCAGGGAUGGUUUUGCAAGGACACCAAGCUCUGUGGUUGAAGCAGAUAAAUCAAGUAGCAUGAGGAGUAUCUUUCAAGUGGCACCUCUUCCACGGUAUCCAAGAAAGAGAAGUUUCAACACAGGUAUUAAUCUGAUACCGUUUACAGAACAAAAUCUGGAUGACCUGAACUACAAAGACAUGAACCCCUGUGAGCGACUGAAGGCAGAGCUCAGACUGCUGCCCCUCAUCACUAAGAUGGACCCCCUGCUACA